rnacentral:rRNA from 2 species
ACGGGGUGCAGCAGGCGCGAAACCUUUGCAAUGUGCGCAAGCACGACAAGGUUAAUCCGAGUGUUUCCUGCUAAAGGAAUCCUUUGUUAGUCGUAAAACCACUGAUGAAUAAGGGGUGGGCAAGUUCUGGUGUCAGCCGCCGCGGUAAAACCAGCACCUCAAGUGGUCAGGAGGAUUAUUGGGCCUAAAGCAUCCGUAGCCGGCUCUGCAAGUUUUCGGUUAAAUCCAUUUGCUUAACAAAUGGGCUGCCGAAAAUACUACAUAGCUAGGGAGUGGGAGAGGUAGACGGUAUUCGGUAGGAAGGGGUAAAAUCCUUUGAUCUAUUGAGGACCGCCUAUGGCGAAGGCAGUCUACCAGAACACGUUCGACGGUGAGGGAUGAAAGCUGGGGGAGCAAACCGGAUUAGAUACCCGGGUAGUCCCAGCUGUAAACGAUGCAGACUCGGUGAUGCACUGGCUUGUGGCCAGUGCAGUGCCGCAGGGAAGCCGUUAAGUUUGCCGCCUGGGAAGUACGUACGCAAGUAUGAAACUUAAAGGAAUUGGCGGGGGAGCAC